UACGUAGGGGGCUAGCGUUGUCCGGAUUUAUUGGGCGUAAAGAGCGCGUAGGCGGCCGAGUAAGUCCGACGUGAAAUCUGGAGGCUCAACCUCCAGCGGUCGUUGGAAACUACUCGGCUAGAGUCCGGAAGAGGAGAGUGGAAUUCCUGGUGUAGCGGUGAAAUGCGUAGAUAUCUGGAGGAACACCGGUGGCGAAGGCGACAUCCUGGACCGGUAUUGACGCUGAGGCGCGAAAGCCAGGGGAGCAAACGGG
rnacentral:rRNA from 1 species